CAGUCGCCGCGGGAAUACGUAGGGCGCAAGCGUUAUCCGGAAUUAUUGGGCGUAAAGAGCUCGUAGGCGGUUUGUCGCGUCUGCCGUGAAAGUCCGGGGCUCAACCCCGGAUCUGCGGUGGGUACGGGCAGACUAGAGUGAUGUAGGGGAGACUGGAAUUCCUGGUGUAGCGGUGAAAUGCGCAGAUAUCAGGAGGAACACCGAUGGCGAAGGCAGGUCUCUGGGCAUUAACUGACGCUGAGGAGCGAAAGCAUGGGGAGCGAACAGGAUUAGAUACCCCUGUAGUCCCUGUCUCUUAUAA
rnacentral:rRNA from 1 species